AAGAAGAAAUAAGAAAAAAAACAAAACAAAAAAUCAACCACCAAAAACAACAACCACGGUAAAAUUUUACAGAGUCGUCGAGUCGAAGUAAAACAAAAAAAAAAUAACAACAAAAACGGCAAAAGAAAAAUUUGUAAUUACAAAUAAACAAGAAGCGCUCGGUGAGAAAAACGUUGUUGUGAAUUUGAUGAAUGUCGUGUGUACAACAAUAGCAGGCUAGAGGCAAAAAAAGCAAACAAACAAACAACAAUAACAGCAAGCAUACCUUGUAAUGGGAAAAUUUCUCGAAUGAAACAAAUCUAAUCGGAAAAUAGAAAAUUUCUAUCGAAAACGCCGUAAAAAGGAAAAACGAAAAGGAACCACUUUUUGACAAUUCUCUGUGGAAAUUAAGAAGAAGAAGAAGCAGUGUAAAAACAGAAUUUCCGUUUUCCUGCCAAGCAACCAACCAACCAACCAACAUCAACGAGAAGAAAAUCCAACAAGAAAAUCUCUCCCCCCGUUUCGCCAAAAAAGAAGAAAAAUAAAGAGCCUAAACAGCUGAUUCAGUUCCAAAGAAAAACAUCAACAACAACAACAACCAAUAUUUACACCACAGACCGCAAGUGGCAAGAAGAAGAGGAAACAUUCAACACAAACCCAACAACAACAACAGGAACCCAAACAACACACAUCCCAAUCGAAGAAAAUCUCAUUCGAAAACGCUCGUUAUCCAAUUGGUAUUUAAUCACGGUUACAUCGUCGUCUCCGGGGAACCCAAUUCGCUUGAUUCGCGUCAUUCUAAGGCUUUAAAAGUUCGCGUCCUUAGA
rnacentral:sRNA from 1 species